UACGGAGGGGGCAAGCGUUGUCCGGAAUUAUUGGGCGUAAAGAGCGUGUAGGCGGCCCGAUUAGUCCGCUGUGAAAGUCCAGGGCUCAACCCUGGAAUGCCGGUGGAUACUGUCGGGCUAGAGUCCGGAAGGGGCGAGUGGAAUUCCUGGUGUAGCGGUGAAAUGCGCAGAUAUCAGGAGGAACACCAAUGGCGAAGGCAGCUCGCUGGGACGUGACUGACGCUGAGACGCGAAAGCGUGGGGAGCGAACAGG
rnacentral:rRNA from 1 species